GGGGGGGGGGGGCAGUCUGGGUUUUUAUUAUCUGUUAUUUAAUAAAGCAUCCGAGUCUCUCCACACACCACGGACCGUAAUUACAUUUGUACAGGAUUUUCUAUUCAGCACACACACUUGAGACCAUUAACACAGAAAACUAAACUGGCAGCAGCACAUAAUGACCCUUUGUGUGUCCGUCAUGAGAACACGCAUGACGCAUGUUUUUUCACUCACACACUCCCAGAUUUGUCCUUUUUCUCCAAUGGAUCGAACUGGUCUCUGCAGAAUGUUGACAGGAAUCAGUGAUUUCCCUUUUUAUUGAAAACAGCCCUUUAUUAUUGUUUCCUUUGAUUCUUCCCAACCGACCUCAUUAUUUGUGUGAGUGACACAGUUUAUGUUUCAUGUUGACAUCAUUUGUGUGGUUGUGGUUUAAAGGGUCAAAAAACAGGUUUGAAGUUUUGCACAUUCAAAAAGUCGGUCGGGCUGCAGUUCCUCAAAUGGCCACUUGGGGUCUAAAAGCCAGUAAGUGACCAUAGAUUUCGAUGUUAAAAUGAUUAACUUUAACACCCAAAUGAACAUGUUUUUAGUCCCCUAUGAAGACUCGGCGUUGUUCUCUUCUUUGUUGCUGUUAAUGACAAUUGACUCCCAUUUGAGUGACAUGGAUUCUUGUUUUAAUCAAGCUUUAUCCAACACUUUUAUCUGCCUAUAUUUGGGAUAAUUGGCCCUUUCUGCUGGUAGGUGGAGACUUGGAGACGUCCAACGUUUGCCAUUGGUCUGAAAUAAGUGUCUUUGGCUCCGGAUGUGACCCGAAACCAACCCAAACAGUGUGUGAGGAAUGGCAGACUUUUUAAACUUAAAAACUCAUUUAAACAGACACAAUGAAAUCCAAGGCACAUUUUUAGCAAACACGUCGUCACUAAUCCAUGAAGGGUCCUCGGUAGUUUUCAUGUGGCAAACAACGUUCUCGACUAGACUGUUCUUGUAAUUCUAAACCACAACCAUCAUGAUCAGACACCCGUGCAACUCUCUGAUCUUUCAGCUUUUAUCAAACACCACACGUGUAAAUCGUAGCACAGUUUGGGAUCUGACGCCUGUAUCUGUUGGACUCUCUGCUGCACGCUGCUGCAUUAAUGCGUUUAUUAAUCAUCCUGCUGGAUUCCCCGAGGAGAGUUUGAAACAACAAGUUCCUGUAUUCAUUAGCUGCCUUUGACCCGUAAACAGGGCAUUUGUGAGGAGAAAUGUUAUGUGUGUUGUAAAAACGUUACAGACAUGAACCGUAAACCGAAGCCUAAAUGGAUUCUGUCAUUUAAUAUCCUUCCCAAUCACUUCUCACAAGGCGAGCGGCGCAGACCACUCCUCAGAGCUCUAAUGGGCUGAAACCAAACCUCUAAUUCAACUUCCUCGAAGCACUAACUCCCGUGAAAGAGACAUCAGUUGUCACACAUUCACAUAAAAGUGUGGUUUUCUGUCUGAUCUGCACAGGGAAACCGGUGAGACAGCAGCUUGUGGUCCAUUGGGGAGAGAAGUAGGAGGACGGACGCUGCAUUGAUCAUACGUGUAGCCGGAGCGCCUCCACCUUGCAGCGCCGGAUGGAAACGUGGGGAUGUUCGCUUCCGUUGGUCUUCAAACCUCCAUCACAGCCCGUACUGGUCUCCAUGCUACCUCGUUUUUAUUAACUAUCCAUAUCAGUUUAUGUGAACUACAAACCAUUAAAUUUGAUAUAUUCAUUUAACGUUCAACGUUGUCCAUCAGAUACACCGUCUGCAUCCGGGUCACAUCCGCCCUCAGACACACAAACACUGUGUCGUGCUGAUGACGCACAAACUCACCUGCUGAAAACAUUUGAGGGUUUUCUGUAAAUCUGUCCAACAACAAACGCUCCUUCGUAAACGUGUCAACACAUUUGAUCCUCGGACCAGUGUCCACUUUCCUAACUCCUCGGGAACUCUCCUCACCACCUUUCCUUGGCCCUGUGACCUUUUUCCACACAGGUCAAGGAACAGUGGUUAGGAAAAGACGCUGGGAGACGUUUUUUGACGACUCGAAUCCAGCCAGAGAAUUAUUCAAAUUAAAGAGGGAAAUUCAACAGUCAGCGCGUGUUUUCACCUGCAGAGGAGUCGACGUGAACAGAACAGAAAAUGUCUUUUUCCCGCCAACAUUUGCCUUUUGAAAGAGAACCGCCGGCUCGGAAAGAAGCCAACUGCCUUCCCCCUGUGGUUGUGUAAUCACUUAAUCCCCCAUGUGCUCUGUGUUGUUGUCAUGUGUUUUAGUGCCGUGUGCAAUUCAAUAAAGGUGUUUGACAGCAGACGUCCUGCAUACAAUCCAAUAACCUUUCAUUUUGAUGGCAAAGGGAAUGCUGAAGCGCGUGUAGUUGAGGGUAAAAUAUAACACGUCCUUGUUAACAAAAGGAGAACGAAGCAGUAGAAUUACACACAUAUCCAAACGCUGACGAAAAAACUAAAGAAUGGACACUACCGGGACCAGAGGGACCAGAAGAACCCUGUUGGCUACCAAGACAGGAAGGGAUCUCGGCUGUAACCGAGAUCUGAGCCUGAAAAUCUAACUUUGAAAUGUGUGACCUAUUUGUCUGCCCCACAAGUAGAACUCUAGUUAUUAUAAUAGUUAUGAAACCAAAGACGCCUUGUAACCUCAACAAUCCACAUGUUCACCAAAGAAAGGUCAUGUAUCUUCUGCUACAGGCACGGCGUGUGUGGGGGUGAAGGUGUCCUUCACCAGAUAAAUCGGGGUCUCAGGGGCUUUGUUUCAUUCCAGUGAGUUUAGUAGAACUAAAAUACAAAAAGCAGGAUUGUUUUGGUCCUAAAUACUGUUGAUGUCAUGAAGAAGAUAAAUGAGAUUCAACGACGCUAAUGGACCUUUACUUUCACCAGUUGGACGGCGACAGCGAGAUUGUGAUGAUUAAAACAUUAACAACUUGCUUCAUCCACACAUUAUUACUGGCAGAUAAGUGUCAGCUUUGUUGGGCUCAAUGUCCGUAGCUAGUGUAUCAUUUAAGUAUGGCACGAUUAGCAAGAUAGCUAGCCAGAUACUGGGCAGUUGGCUAGUUAGCUAGUUAGCUAGCUAGCCAUUCCUGCACGAUUUAUUGCCCCAACGGGAUCCCGACAGCGCUAUUGAUGAUAUGUAUGUGGUGCUUGGCGCUCUGAAUAACGAUAAAAACUAUGUUAAUGUUCUAAUCACACCUCACGGUUCCCAACAGGGUCAGAAUAUUAAAAAUGAGCUUUAAUCCCUUGAAACACUCGACUGAGCAACGAACCUUUCAACGUGAUGCUAACGGACUGCGACGGACAGUCACCAGAGAGGAAGUAGGAGGUCUCACACAGUCGGUCAGACGGCUGAGCGUCGCCUUCGCUCAGACACAUUUACCACGUGGACGUGACUGGAAACCCCGACGUUUAGACGUUCACUUCACCGCGGCUUCUUUGAUGUUUCACUCGAGGAGGUUUAUUCAGAUAUGAAACUAAAGCUCUCUGUAAACCCCCCCGGGCUCCACUUGGGAUAUUUUAUUGGGAACAGGCAGAUGAGGAAAAGCUUCAGCAAGGCUCCCGUAACGUUUCCUCCGGGACUCGUUUGCGUACGACAAUAUUGACUCAGGCAAAAAAGGUGUGUCGGCCCAGGUGGACCGAUGUCACCUGACAGCCUUUUGCUUUUGUGGUUUCUGUUAUUUAAGCAUCGGACCUCAAUCAUAAUAAGUAAAUGUUGACAGAGGGCAGCUGUCUCCUGGGUGAAAGUCUGCUUCUUGUGUGUUUGCUCCUCGUCGUCGUUGUAAAGACUUUUAAACAUCUUAUCAAUGUAAAAAAUCUCCCGUUUGUCCCGUCGUGCAGCUUAUUAACUUUAAACUGUUUUUUUUGUUUACUUUGUAAAUUGUAUCGCAGUUUGGCUUUGAAGGUAAAACAAAUUCAACAAUUAUUUUUACUGUUUUUUUUACUAUAUUUAUUCAUUUGUAUUUACAACGAAUGUAAAACAAAAAGGAAAAACGCUGCAUGUAAAUAAAUGUCAGAGAAAACUCUUAAAACUUUAAAUAAAACUUGUUUGUUUAUGUUUUAAAAGAGCAAUUCUCUCUUUGGUUUUUUUUGCUUUCUAAAUUUGUUUACUCUGUUUUUGUGUUUUCUAUAUUUCGCCUUUUCUGUGUGUUCUGUAUUUCAUGUGCGAUCUGAGUGUGUUUUUAUGCAGUUGUGUGUGUUGUGUUGGUGCUGCCGUGUCCUGAGGGUCUGUGGACCAACAAACAGAACAGUCGAUGUUUUGUUCCACUGUGUUUUACUUCAGCCAGGAGGCCUGGAAACAGAGUUUGACACAAUACUGGAUUUCUGCAGGAAAUAAAAAGCCAGUGUCAGUGGCCAUUACCCAGAGUUCAUAGCACUUCUCCUCUUCAUGGGUGGAACACGAUGCUGAUUAAGAUGUCGCUUCUCAAGAAGCUGGCGAAGAAGACAAUGCUGAUGAAGACGUCUCAGAUGAAGACGUUGCAGAUGAAGACGCUGCCGAUGAAGACGAUGGAGAUGAAGACGUUGCAGAUGAAGACGUUGCCAAUGAAGAUGCUGCUGAUGAAGACGUUGGCAAUGAAGACACUGAUGAUGAAGACAAUGCCAAUGAAGACGCUGAUGAUGAAGACGUUGCCAAUGAAGACGUUGCAGAUGAAGAUGAUGGCGAUGAAGACAAUGCCAAUGAAGACGCUGAU
ensembl:lncRNA